AUUGAACGCUGGCGGUAGGCUUAACACAUGCAAGUCGUGCGAGAAAGUAUCUUCGGAUAUGAGUAGAGCGGCGGACGGGUGAGUAACGCGUAGGAAUCUACCUAGUAGAAGGGGAUAGCCCGGGGAAAUUUGGAUUAAUCCCCCAUAGUAUUGUAGAGAGGCAUCUCUUUACGAUUAAAGCAUUAGCGGUAUAAGAUGGUCAUGCGUGACAUUAGUUAGUUGGUAAGGUAACGGCUUACCAAGACAUCGAUGUCUAGGGGUUCUGAGAGGAAGGUCCCCCACACUGGUACUGAGACACAGACCAG
rnacentral:rRNA from 1 species